CCACAUCACAUUGAAACACCAGUUCCCAUACAAUCACUAAAGUUAAGCAAUGUUGAGGCUGAUCAGUACCUAGAUGGGUGACUGCUUGAGAAUACCAGGUGCUGUAAG